UACGUAGGUGGCAAGCGUUGUCCGGAUUUACUGGGCGUAAAGGGCGUGCAGGCGGUUUGUUAAGUGCAGGGUGAAAGCUCCCGGCUCAACUGGGAGAGGUCCUUGCAUACUGGCAGACUUGAGGGAGGCAGAGGAAAGUGGAAUUCCCGGUGUAGUGGUGAUAUGCGUAGAUAUCGGGAGGAACACCUGUGGCGAAGGCGGCUUUCUGGACAGAUACCGACGCUGAGGCACGAAAGCUAGGGGAGCAAACAGG
rnacentral:rRNA from 1 species